rnacentral:hammerhead_ribozyme from 1 species
AUCCAGAGGACGAGUCUCAAACAAGACGAAGUGCUCACCUUGGAU